GAGCCUUGACCAAGAAAGUCAUAUACCAUCAAACCAUGGGAGCUUAACCAUAAGUGUGUUGAUUCGUCGAUAUUAUUACUAUCUGAGCCU
rfam:Nicotiana attenuata strain TT chromosome 9, whole genome shotgun sequence.